CUCAGCUGUCCCUUUUUCAGUACUUCUUUCUGCAGCCUUUGAUCAGAAAUAAAACUUCUAGAUCCUUGCCUGCCUUCUCAUCUACAUCCCCAGGAUAUAACUAGCCCAUGAGCCAGUGUGGCACAGUAGUAGAGGUGUUGGACUAGGAAGACCCUGACAGGCCCUCUGGAUGAAUCCUUUGGGCUUCUCCCCAAAGCCUGCUGUCUCUCUUUAUUUCUUAGAUCAAAGGCACCAGCCAAGAUGGGUCUCAAAAUAUGGAGCUGUUCUUGACCGACAAAUAACAGAAAGAUGCUACCUUG